rnacentral:rRNA from 1 species
GUACGGGAGGCAGCAGUGGGGAAUUGUUCGCAAUGGGCGCAAGCCUGACGACGCAACGCCGCGUGGAGGAUGAAGAUCUUCGGGUCGUAAACUCCUGUCGACCGGGACGAAAUUCACGGGAGCUAACAUCUCUCGUGGUUGACGGUACCGGUGGAGGAAGCCCCGGCUAACUCCGUGCCAGCAGCCGCGGUAAUACGGGGGGGGCAAGCGUUGUUCGGAAUUACUGGGCGUAAAGGGCUCGUAGGCGGCCGCACAAGUCCGACGUGAAAUCCCUCGGCUCAACCGAGGAACUGCGUCGGAAACUAGGUGGCUUGAAUCCAAGAGAGGGAUGCGGAAUUCCAGGUGUAGCGGUGAAAUGCGUAGAUAUCUGGAGGAACACCGGUGGCGAAGGCGGCAUCCUGGAUUGGCAUUGACGCUGAGAGAGCGAAAGCCAGGGGAGCAAACGGGAUUAGAUACCCCGGUAG